rnacentral:rRNA from 1 species
AGAGUUUGAUCCUGGCUCAGAUUGAACGCUGGCGGUAUGCUUAACACAUGCAAGUCGAACGGAAACGAAACUAGCUUGCUAGUAGGCGUCGAGUGGCGGACGGGUGAGUAACGCGUAGGAAUCUGCCUGAUAGUGGGGGAUAGCCCGAAGAAAUUCGGAUUAAUACCGCAUAAUCUAUUCGUAGUAAAGUGGGGGACUUUCGAGCCUCACGCUAUCAGAUGAGCCUGCGUAAGAUUAGCUUGUUGGUAGGGUAAAAGCCUACCAAGGCAACGAUCUUUAGCUGGUCUGAGAGGAUGAUCAGCCACAUCGGGACUGAGACACGGCCCGAACUCCUACGGGAGGCAGCAGUGGGGAAUAUUGGACAAUGGGGGCAACCCUGAUCCAGCAAUACCGCGUGUGUGAAGAAGGCCUGAGGGUUGUAAAGCACUUUCAAUUGUGAAGAAAAGUUAACGGUUAAUAACCGUUGACCUUGACGUUAACUUUAUAAGAAGCACCGGCUAACUCCGUGCCAGCAGCCGCGGUAAUACGGAGGGUGCAAGCGUUAAUCGGAAUUACUGGGCGUAAAGCGUGCGUAGGCGGUUUGUUAAGUCAGGUGUGAAAGCCCCGGGCUUAACCUGGGAACUGCAUUUGAAACUGGUCAACUAGAGUAUGGUAGAGGAAAGUGGAAUUUCUGGUGUAGCGGUGAAAUGCGUAGAUAUCAGAAGGAACAUCAAUGGCGAAGGCAGCUUUCUGGACCAAUACUGACGCUGAGGUACGAAAGCGUGGGUAGCAAACAGGAUUAGAUACCCUGGUAGUCCACGCCGUAAACGAUGAUAACUAGCCGUUGGGGGGAUUUACCCCUUAGUGGCGAAGCUAACGCGUUAAGUUAUCCGCCUGGGGAGUACGGCCGCAAGGCUAAAACUCAAAGGAAUUGACGGGGACCCGCACAAGCGGUGGAGCAUGUGGUUUAAUUCGAUGCAACGCGAAGAACCUUGCCUGGUCUUGACAUCCUGCGAACUUUCUAGAAAUAGAUUGGUGCCUUCGGGAACGCAGUGACAGGUGCUGCAUGGCUGUCGUCAGCUCGUGUCGUGAGAUGUUGGGUUAAGUCCCGUAACGAGCGCAACCCCUAUCCUUAUUUGCCAGCACAUUAUGGUGGGAACUAUAAGGAGACUGCCGGGGUCAACUCGGAGGAAGGUGGGGACGACGUCAAGUCAUCAUGCCCCUUAUAUCCAGGGCUGCAAACAUGCUACAAUGGCCGGUACAGAGGGCAGCAAAACCGCGAGGUUGAGCGAAUCCCACAAAGCCGGUCUCAGUUCGGAUUGGAGUCUGCAGCUCGACUCCAUGAAGGCGGAGUCGCUAGUAAUCCCGGAUCAGCAACGCCGGGGUGAAUACGUUCCCGGGCCUUGUACACACCGCCCGCCACACCACGAAAGUCAGCAACACCCGAAGUCAGUGGCCUAACUCUUAGGAGAAGGAGCUGCCGAAGGUGGGGUCGGCGAUUGGGGUGAAGUCGUAACAAGGUAACC